CCUACGGGUGGCAGCAGUGAGGAAUAUUGGUCAAUGGGCGGAAGCCUGAACCAGCCAAGUCGCGUGAGGGAUUAAGGCCCUGCGGGUCGUAAACCUCUUUUGCCGGGGAGCAGUGGUCCGGACGCGUCCGGCCCGGGAGAGUACCCGGAGAAAAAGCAUCGGCUAACUCCGUGCCAGCAGCCGCGGUAAUACGGAGGAUCCGAGCGUUAUCCGGAUUUAUUGGGUUUAAAGGGAGCGUAGGUGGAUUGUUAAGUCAGUUGUGAAAGUUUGCGGCUCAACCGUAAAAUUGCAGUUGAAACUGGCAGUCUUGAGUACAGUAGAGGUGGGCGGAAUUCGUGGUGUAGCGGUGAAAUGCUUAGAUAUCACGAAGAACUCCGAUUGCGAAGGCAGCUCACUGGACUGCAACUGACACUGAUGCUCGAAAGUGUGGGUAUCAAACAGGAUUAGAUACCCCUGUAGUC
rnacentral:rRNA from 1 species